rnacentral:rRNA from 1 species
AUUGAACGCUGGCGGCAGGCUUAACACAUGCAAGUCGAGCGAGCGGCGGACGCGUGAGUAAUGUAUGGGGACUGCCCGAUAGAGGGGGAUAACUACUGGAAACGGAGGCUAGUACCGCAUACUAUCGGGUAACGAAUAUGGGAUUAUCUAGUAGGUGGGGUAAAGGCUCACCUAGGCUACGCUCUCUAGCUGGUCUGAGAGGAUGAUCAGCCCCACUGGGCCUGCGACACGCCCCAGACUCCAACGGAGGCAGCGGUGGGGAAUAUUGCACUAUGGACGCAAGCCUGAUGCAGCCAUGCCGCGUGUCGGACGAAGGCCUUAGGGUUGUAAAGUCAGUUCAGCGGGGAGGCGUUACCCGCCGAAGAAGCACCGGCUAACUCCGUGCCAGCAGCCGCGGUAAUAC